GCCGGACGUGGUGGCGCAUGCCUGUAAUCCCAGCUACUUGGGAGGCUGAGGCAGGAGAAUCGCUUGAACCCAGGAGGCGGAGGUUGCAGUGAGCUGAGAUCGUGCCACUGCACUCCAGCCUGGGCGACAGAGCGAGACUCCGUCUCAA
ensembl:misc_RNA Metazoa_SRP Metazoan signal recognition particle RNA